CAGUCGCCGCGGGAAUACGUAGGGCGCAAGCGUUGUCCGGAAUUAUUGGGCGUAAAGCGUGCGCAGUCGGUUAUAUAAGACAGAUGUGAAAUCCCCGGGCUCAACCUGGGAACUGCAUUUGUGACUGUAUAGCUAGAGUACGGCAGAGGGGGAUGGAAUUCCGCGUGUAGCAGUGAAAUGCGUAGAUAUGCGGAGGAACACCGAUGGCGAAGGCAAUCCCCUGGGCCUGUACUGACGCUCAUGCACGAAAGCGUGGGGAGCAAACAGGAUUAGAGACCCGCGUAGUCCCUGUCUCUUAUAC
rnacentral:rRNA from 1 species